CUUUCCUACGGGACGCAGCAGUGGGGAAUAUUGCACAAUGGGGGGAACCCUGAUGCAGCGACGCCGCGUGAGUGAAGAAGUAUUUCGGUAUGUAAAACUCUAUCAGCAGGGAAGAAAAUGACGGUACCUGACUAAGAAGCCCCGGCUAACUACGUGCCAGCAGCCGCGGUAAUACGUAGGGGGCAAGCGUUAUCCGGAUUUACUGGGUGUAAAGGGAGCGUAGACGGAAAGGCAAGUCAGAAGAGAAAGCCCAAGGCUCAACCAUGGGACUGCUUUUGAAACUGU
rnacentral:rRNA from 1 species